rnacentral:rRNA from 1 species
GGGUUGUGAGGUUAAGCGACUAAGCGUACACGGUGGAUGCCCUGGCAGUCAGAGGCGAUGAAGGACGUGCUAAUCUGCGAAAAGCGUCGGUAAGGUGAUAUGAACCGUUACAGCCGGCGAUGUCCGAAUGGGGAAACCCAGUGCAAUUCGUUGCACUAUCGUUUGAUGAAUACAUAGUCAAACGAGGCGAACCGGGGGAACUGAAACAUCUAAGUACCCCGAGGAAAAGAAAUCAACCGAGAUUCCCCCAGUAGCGGCGAGCGAACGGGGAGCAGCCCGGAGUCUGAAUCAGCUUGUGUGUUAGUAGAAGCGUCUGGAAAGUCGCAGGGUACAGGGUGAUACUCCCGUACACUAAAACACACAGGUUGUGAACUCGAAGAGUAGGGCGGGACACGUGGUAUCCUGUCUGAAUAUGGGGGGACCAUCCUCCAAGGCUAAAUACUCCUGACUGACCGAUAGUGAACCAGUACCGUGAGGGAAAGGCGAAAAGAACCCCGGCGAGGGGAGUGAAAAAGAACCUGAAACCGUGUACGUACAAGCAGUAGGAGCCCACUAGUUGGGUGACUGCGUACCUUUUGUAUAAUGGGUCAGCGACUUAUAUUCUGUAGCAAGGUUAACCGUAUAGGGGAGCCGCAGGGAAACCGAGUCUUAACUGGGCGUUAAGUUGCAGGGUAUAGACCCGAAACCCGGUGAUCUAGCCAUGGGCAGGUUGAAGGUUGGGUAACACUAACUGGAGGACCGAACCGACUAAUGUUGAAAAAUUAGCGGAUGACUUGUGGCUGGGGGUGAAAGGCCAAUCAAACCGGGAGAUAGCUGGUUCUCCCCGAAAGCUAUUUAGGUAGCGCCUCGUGAAUUCAUCUUCGGGGGUAGAGCACUGUUUCGGCUAGGGGGUCAUCCCGACUUACCAACCCGAUGCAAACUACGAAUACCGAAGAAUGUUAUCACGGGAGACACACGGCGGGUGCUAACGUCCGUCGUGAAGAGGGAAACAACCCAGACCGCCAGCUAAGGUCCCAAAGUCAUGGUUAAGUGGGAAACGAUGUGGGAAGGCCCAGACAGCCAGGAUGUUGGCUUAGAAGCAGCCAUCAUUUAAAGAAAGCGUAAUAGCUCACUGGUCGAGUCGGCCUGCGCGGAAGAUGUAACGGGGCUAAACCAUGCACCGAAGCUGCGGCAGCGACACUAUGUGUUGUUGGGUAGGGGAGCGUUCUGUAAGCCGUUGAAGGUGGCCUGUGAGGGUUGCUGGAGGUAUCAGAAGUGCGAAUGCUGACAUAAGUAACGAUAAUGCGGGUGAAAAACCCGCACGCCGGAAGACCAAGGGUUCCUGUCCAACGUUAAUCGGGGCAGGGUGAGUCGACCCCUAAGGCGAGGCCGAAAGGCGUAGUCGAUGGGAAACAGGUUAAUAUUCCUGUACUCGGUGUUACUGCGAAGGGGGGACGGAGAAGGCUAUGUUGGCCGGGCGACGGUUGUCCCGGUUUAAGCAUGUAGGCGGAUGUUCCAGGUAAAUCCGGAACGUCACUAACGCUGAGGUGUGAUGACGAGGCACUACGGUGCUGAAGUGACAAAUGCCCUGCUUCCAGGAAAAGCCUCUAAGCAUCAGGUAACAUCAAAUCGUACCCCAAACCGACACAGGUGGUCAGGUAGAGAAUACCAAGGCGCUUGAGAGAACUCGGGUGAAGGAACUAGGCAAAAUGGUGCCGUAACUUCGGGAGAAGGCACGCUGAUGGUAGGUGAAACGACUUGCUCGUGGAGCUGAAAUCAGUCGAAGAUACCAGCUGGCUGCAACUGUUUAUUAAAAACACAGCACUGUGCAAACACGAAAGUGGACGUAUACGGUGUGACGCCUGCCCGGUGCCGGAAGGUUAAUUGAUGGGGUUAUCCGUAAGGAGAAGCUCUUGAUCGAAGCCCCGGUAAACGGCGGCCGUAACUAUAACGGUCCUAAGGUAGCGAAAUUCCUUGUCGGGUAAGUUCCGACCUGCACGAAUGGCGUAAUGAUGGCCAGGCUGUCUCCACCCGAGACUCAGUGAAAUUGAACUCGCUGUGAAGAUGCAGUGUACCCGCGGCAAGACGGAAAGACCCCGUGAACCUUUACUAUAGCUUGACACUGAACACUGGUCCUUGAUGUGUAGGAUAGGUGGGAGGCUUUGAAGUGUGGACGCCAGUCUGCAUGGAGCCAUCCUUGAAAUACCACCCUUUAAUGGCUGGUGUUCUAACGUGGGCCCCUGAUCGGGGUUGCGGACAGUGUCUGGUGGGUAGUUUGACUGGGGCGGUCUCCUCCUAAAGAGUAACGGAGGAGCACGAAGGUCAGCUAAUCCUGGUCGGACAUCAGGAGGUUAGUGCAAUGGCAUAAGCUGGCUUGACUGCGAGCGUGACGGCGCGAGCAGGUGCGAAAGCAGGUCAUAGUGAUCCGGUGGUUCUGAAUGGAAGGGCCAUCGCUCAACGGAUAAAAGGUACUCCGGGGAUAACAGGCUGAUACCGCCCAAGAGUUCAUAUCGACGGCGGUGUUUGGCACCUCGAUGUCGGCUCAUCACAUCCUGGGGCUGAAGUAGGUCCCAAGGGUAUGGCUGUUCGCCAUUUAAAGUGGUACGCGAGCUGGGUUUAGAACGUCGUGAGACAGUUCGGUCCCUAUCUGCCGUGGGCGCUGGAGAAUUGAGGGGGGCUGCUCCUAGUACGAGAGGACCGGAGUGGACGCAUCACUGGUGUUCGGGUUGUCAUGCCAAUGGCAUUGCCCGGUAGCUAAAUGCGGAAGAGAUAAGUGCUGAAAGCAUCUAAGCACGAAACUUGCCCCGAGAUGAGUUCUCCCUGACCCUUUAAGGGUCCUGAAGGAACGUUGAAGACGACGACGUUGAUAGGCCGGGUGUGUAAGCGCAGCGAUGCGUUGAGCUAACCGGUACUAAUGAACCGUGAGGCUUAACCUUACAACGCCGAAG